GAAAGAUGGUUCUGCUAUCACUCUUGGAUGGACCUGCGGUGCAUUAGCUAGUUGGUAAGGUAACGGCUUACCAAGGCAAUGAUGCAUAGCCGAGUUGAGAGACUGAUCGGCCACAUUGGGACUGAGACACGGCCCAAACUCCUACGGGAGGCAGCAGUAGGGAAUCUUCCACAAUGGACGAAAGUCUGAUGGAGCAACGCCGCGUGAGUGAAGAAGGGUUUCGGCUCGUAAAGCUCUGUUGGUAGUGAAGAAAGAUAGAGGUAGUAACUGGCCUUUAUUGACGGUAAUUACUUAGAAAGUCACGGCUAACUACGUGCCAGCAGCCGCGGUAAUACGUAGGUGGCAAGCGUUGUCCGGAUUUAUUGGGCGUAAAGCGAGUGCAGGCGGUUCAAUAAGUCUGAUGUGAAAGCCUUCGGCUCAACCGGAGAAUUGCAUCAGAAGCUGUUGAACUUGAGUGCAGAAGAGGAGAGUGGAACUCCAUGUGUAGCGGUGGAAUGCGUAGAUAUAUGGAAGAACACCAGUGGCGAAGGCGGCUCUCUGGUCUGCAACUGACGCUGAGGCUCGAAAGCAUGGGUAGCGAACAGGAUUAGAUACCCUGGUAGUCCAUGCCGUAAACGAUGAGUGCUAAGUGUUGGGAGGUUUCCGCCUCUCA
rnacentral:rRNA from 1 species